AUAGACUUUGAUGUCGCCUCCUGUUGAAAUUGUUGAAUUGAUCAAGUAAUCAAUAUGAGAGAAGCUAGAUCAUGAUCAUGGUGGCUGGAUACGUGAAUGAUGCUUGAACAUGCUGGAUUUUCAUCACCGGCUUGAUUGACAAAUUGAUCACCUUGAGUUUGUUUUAACCCUAUGUUAAAUGCACACAACCUAUUACAGUUAUUUUCAGGGUAGAUCUCGCAAGCGAACUCCGUGCAUUUCCAAAUAUUCUUGGUCUGCUACGAUAUCAGCUUGGAAAUCGGAAGGCUUGGUCAUUGAUUUUGUAGUAGCUGUGACUUUCUUUGGGUGAUAAGUUCAUCGUUUCUAUGGUACAUUUCAGUACUUCUGUAGAUAGAUUUUAAAUAGAGGUUUCUGAGUGUGAAUUGUCUGUUGGACAAAAACGGGUACAACUGGCCCGUGUUGGUUCAUUUCAGUUUUGUUUUGGUUUGGUGACUUGUUUUGUUUCGGACUGAAGUGAUACAACUUAGGCAACUCUAAGCCUUUUUGGCAAUUUUUAAACCAUGAUUGGGAAUUGUACAAAUGUGCCAUGGCAUCCAGCAAGUUAUAUGAAUCCUAACCAAAAGAAGAAAAAUAAAUCCUGUCUUUCUAACCGAGCAAUGUGGGAGCUUGUAAGAGUCAAGAGUGUGAUACAAGACAUUCCUGGAUGGCAUGGACGGCUAACGAGCUGUAAUACAAAUUCAUGUGCAAUAAAUCAUGCACAGACUGCACUUUUCUAGUAAAAUAUGUGGAAUUUAUCAACUUUUUUGAGACAUUCAUGUGUAACUUUGUCCGGUGGACAGAUCUCAGAGAUUUAGAUCUACGAACCAGUUUGUUUGCCUUAAGACAGAUUAGAGCUGCCACAGGCAACUUUCACAUUUCAAACAAGCUUGGGGAAGGUGGUUUUGGUUCUGUUUACAAGGCCCAGAAGAAUAUCAAUUGCAGCUUGAUUGGCCAACAAGGCACAAGAUUUGUGUUGGUAUAGCAAGAAGUCUAGCUUAUCUCCAUGAAGAAUCGACGCUGAAAAUUGUUCAUAGAGACAUCAAAGCCACCAAUGUACUGCUCGAUCGGUAUCUUAUACCAAAGAUAUCUGACUUUGGUCUGGCAAGGCUUGGUGAAGAGGAGAAGACCCACAUCAGCACUCGUGUAGCUGGAACCAUGUGAGUCAUCAUGCACAAUUUUCCUCGUUAUGAAAUGGAAACCAUACCUUCAUACUCUUUAAUGAUAAUAUUCAUCUGUGUUCAGACAUAAAACUCAAUACAUUUCUUAGUUUUAUCUUUUGAACCAGCAUUCUGGGAAAUUGGUGAAUGCCAUGUGCCUGUCAAGAAUUUCUCCUAUGCGGAGUAGCAGCAAGUUUCAAUCUAAAAUGGGGAACUGAAUGAGGCAACCACAUAAACUGAAUAGAUCAACAAAAAUGAGAUAGAAGUUUGCAUCACUUGUUUGACUCAUGACAUCGCAGCAGUGCUGCCAACAGCCAAAAUCACAUCAAUACCAGCACUAACCAGAAAAUGAGAUGGUGUCUGGAUCAUACAAUAAGCAUUCGUAUAAGUACAGAUUAAAUGGUGAAUAAUGCACAUUGUUCGGGAGCUGCUUCUCCAAGGAUACUUAACUGUGCAUGCCAUCCAUUAAAGAUCAACAGUUUUGGACUCAUUAUCUAAGGGCCCGCCUGAUGCAACCCAAAUAGAUGGUCCAGUGGGUAGCUAAUGGGAACUGUUCUAAGGAU